GAUGAACGCUGGCGGCGUGCCUAAUACAUGCAAGUCGAGCGAACGGACGAGGAGCUUGCUUCUCUGAUGUUAGCGGCGGACGGGUGAGUAACACGUGGAUAACCUACCUAUAAGACUGGGAUAACUUCGGGAAACCGGAGCUAAUACCGGAUAAUAUUUUGAACCGCAUGGUUCAAAAGUGAAAGACGGUCUUGCUGUCACUUAUAGAUGUAUCCGCGCUGCAUUAGCUAGUUGGUAAGGUAACGGCUUACCAAGGCAACGAUGCAUAGCCGACCUGAGAGGGUGAUCGGCCACACUGGAACUGAGACACGGUCCAGACUCCUACGGGAGGCAGCAGUAGGGAAUCUUCCGCAAUGGGCGAAAGCCUGACGGAGCAACGCCGCGUGAGUGAUGAAGGUCUUCGGAUCGUAAAACUCUGUUAUUAGGGAAGAACAUAUGUGUAAGUAACUGUGCACAUCUUGACGGUACCUAAUCAGAAAGCCACGGCUAACUACGUG
rnacentral:rRNA from 1 species